UUCCCCUGGCAGCUUGUAGAGACACCUUGGUGGUGGUGUUGUGCUUAUAUCAAUCAGGGGUAGAGAAGAUGGACUGUCUUUUGUUUAUCCUAGCUUGAUUGGUGCCUGGCUUGGUGACCAAAGCUGUCUUAUGCCUAAGACUCAUAA